rnacentral:lncRNA from 1 species
GGCCAUUUUUUAAAGACACAUGCUAAGAAGAAGAGAAAACCACAAAAGUAAAAAUAACAUCUUAGCCCCAUGAAAUAAAUUUGGGGGACAUUUUAUUAGGAUAAUUAGAAACAAUGCAAAUUCCUUUCCUCUACAAAAUCUAAUUGUAUUCUAACUUAAAUGUUUUCAAUUGCUUACAUGCAUUUUUAUUCAUUAGCUACUUUGAUAAAUACUUUAUAAUAGUCUUUGUUAAUACAAUGGGAAAAAAAUGAAAAAUAUUCAUUUUUAAAAAUAAAAUUUUGGGAGACUAAUAUACAUACUUUUUCCUGAUUUCACAAUUCCUUGAAUGCCCAGAUUUGCACAUACAUGAAUGUGUAUUAAAAUUACUUAGUUAAAAUAUCUGGUUUCUAAAUAUUCUACAUAUUCUGCUAUAAUAUUUUUAACUUCUAAUUUGAUUCUUGUGUUAAUAAAAACAUUAUCUGUCAGUGGAACAUCAGGCAUGAGAAAUAUAGCUAGCAAGGCUGAUAUAUAUGAAAAUGUGUGAAUUGAUGAAUAUAGCUCUAGAGAUUAUGUAAGAAUACUAUUUCUAAUGAUUAGAGUAUGAUAAAAGGGGAUACUAAACUCUCAAAGAAUGUAUUACUUUUAGAAAGUCCAUACAGCAAGGCUUGAUGUUAUUUUCAGACCACAAAAGUAUUAUAAUAGUCACCCAGAAAUCUGAGAUUAGCCCAUCUUUAAGCAGUACAUCUGAAAAAAGCUUGAAACAAAAUCAUCUUUGACUUCCAUACUCCAAUAACAUCAGUAAACUAACUUUCAAAACUACAGCAAUUAAAUUUACACUGCAACGUAGGAAUCUUUUUCAGAAAAUGCAGUGAAGCUUGGUGAGGAAAGGGGAGUUAUGAGAAAUGAAUUCUACAGACUGUGAAAGUGACUGGUGGGAAAACUAUUUGAGGUGCCCUUCUAAGAGAGGGUAAAGUCUGAGGUGACCUUAUUUUAGGAAUUUCAAUAGGUGAAGAUCUGUCUUCAUCUUGAAACAAGACAGCAAAGUCUUCAUCUUCAAACAGGCCUGAAGUUAAUUCGCUUUGAGGUGGGAUAAAGCAACCAGAAUUUUUAUAAGAUGAAGAAAAUCCAGCUUUAUGGAGGAAUGGGAAAGUUCCACUUUGAGAGGGAUGCUGUGGAAUCAUGAUUGGAGAAUGAUCUGUGCUGUAACUUUCAGGACCAGGAUGAAGGAAAUCCUUUAAAUCUUUACAAUUUAAUUGGCCCCUUUGUUGAAUAUCAGUGGCAAUUCCAUUUUGUUGAUCGGGAGAGGAAAUAUCACUUGCAAGAGAAAAGAAGGAUGAUGUGCUUUGUUGAUAGGAGGCUGUAUCAAUAGUGUUCCCAAAGGCUGGAGAAGUAGUGUUUGUUUCAAAAUUCUUAAAAGUUUUAGUGUUAUAUUCAGGAGCAGAGAUGGUUAUAUGUUUUUUAGCAUCAGUAUUACUUGAAGUUUUAGAAAAGAUUUCGAUUUCAUUUAGAUUAAACACAUUCUGGCCACUUGCUUGAGGAUCAAAAAAAAUGGCACUCUUGUAAUAGGAAACUAUACUUAGUUUACGGGAUGAGAAACGUCUUCUGUGGGACAUAAAGCUACCACAAUGGCCUGAGGAAGAUUUUAAAUCAGUGAAGCUUGUGUCUUCUUCAGAAUCAAAGUUAGCUCUACUUUGUUGCCAGUAAGGGGAAGCAUUUCUUUUUUGAAAUCCAACAAAUAAAGAACAUCUUCUUUCAGAGAAAGAUGGACUUGAUACAGAUAAUAACCUUCUACUUGCUUUGGCUGAAUUGACUUUAUGUGUUACAGGGGAAUAAGAUGUUUUAUGACCAAGAGAUAUACUUGGUUGUGAAACAGAAGAGGCUCCAUGAUGCUGGGCGUCUGUACUAACUUGAUCUUCUGGAGAACAUCGUUGGAAGCUCUGGUCCUCUUUGCAGCAGCUAAGCACUUUCCCAUUGUAAAUUUAAUCCAAAGUAAAUCUCUCCCUUCCCUUCUAGGCCGUCAUCCUUAAGCCAUAAAAUGCCCUGUAUAGGUGGAACAGGUCAGAAGACUGAAUGCUCAAGCUGCAUGUGGAGUUAA